UUGAUCCUGCCGGAGGUCACUGCUAUUGGGAUUCGACUAAGCCAUGCGAGUCGUGAGGGUUCGGCCCUCGGCUGACGGCUCAGUAACACGUGGAUAAUCUACCCUUAGGUGGAGGAUACCCUCGGGAAACUGAGAAUAAUACUCCAUAGAUCUAGACUGCUGGAAUGCUUUUAGAUCGAAAGAUUUAUCGCCUAAGGAUGAGUCUGCGGACUAUCAGGUUGUAGUCAGGGUAAUGACCUGACUAGCCUACGACGGAUACGGGUAGUGAGAGCUUUAGCCCGGAGAUGAUAUCUGAGACACGAUAUCAGGCCCUACGGGGCGCAGCAGACGCGAAAACUUCGCACUGUGCGAAAGCACGACGAGGGAAUCCCAAGUGCUGGCUCGUAAGAGUCAGCUGUUUCUCUGUCUAAAAAACAGAGAGAGUAAGGGCUGGGUAAGACGGGUGCCAGCCGCCGCGGUAAUACCUGCAGCCCAAGUGGUGGCCGCUAUUAUUGGGCCUAAAACGUCCGUAGCCGGUUCUAUAAAUGCCUGGGUAAAUCGUACGGCUUAACCGUACGAAUUCCGGGUAGACUGUUCAACUUGGGACCGGGAGAGGCUAGAGGUACUCCUGGGGUAGAGGUGAAAUCCUAUAAUCCCAGGAGGACCACCAGUGGCGAAGGCUGUCGGCUAGAACGCGCCCGACGGUGAG
rnacentral:rRNA from 1 species